GCGGAGGGAACAUGUGGUUUAAUUCGAUGAUACGCGAGGAACCUUACCCGGGCUUGAACUGCAGGAGAACGAUUCAGAGAUGAUGAGGUCCUUCGGGACUCCUGUGGAGGUGCUGCAUGGUUGUCGUCAGGCUCGUGCCGUGAGGUGUCGGCUUAAGUGCCAUAACGAGCGCAACCCCUCUCCGUAGUUGCCAUCGGGUGAUGCCGGGCACUCUGCGGACACUGCCACCGUAAGGUGUGA
rnacentral:rRNA from 1 species